rnacentral:rRNA from 1 species
GACGAACGCUGGCGGCGUGCUUAACACAUGCAAGUCGAACGGAAAGGCCCUGCUUUUGUGGGGUGCUCGAGUGGCGAACGGGUGAGUAACACGUGAGUAACCUGCCCUUGACUUUGGGAUAACUUCAGGAAACUGGGGCUAAUACCGGAUAGGAGCUCCUGCUGCAUGGUGGGGGUUGGAAAGUUUCGGCGGUUGGGGAUGGACUCGCGGCUUAUCAGCUUGUUGGUGGGGUAGUGGCUUACCAAGGCUUUGACGGGUAGCCGGCCUGAGAGGGUGACCGGCCAAAUUGGGAAGGAGAAGAGGGCCAGAACCCUAAGGGAGGGAAGAGGGGGGAAAAGUGGAAAAUGGGGGGAAGGCUGAAGGAGGAAAGGCGGGGGGGGGGUGAAGGGCCUUGGGGUGGAAACCGCUUUCGCCCGGGAAGAAGGGGGAGGGAAGGGAAAGGGGAAAGAAGAAACGGCUAAAUAAGGG